CGCGGCCUAUCAGCUUGUUGGUGGGGUGAUGGCCUACCAAGGCGACGACGGGUAGCCGGCCUGAGAGGGUGUCCGGCCACACUGGGACUGAGAUACGGCCCAGACUCCUACGGGAGGCAGCAGUGGGGAAUAUUGCACAAUGGGCGCAAGCCUGAUGCAGCGACGCCGCGUGGGGGAUGACGGCCUUCGGGUUGUAAACCUCUUUCACCAUCGGCGAAGCCCGUAGCUUUUGUUGUGGGUGACGGUAGGUGGAGAAGAAGCACCGGCCAACUACGUGCCAGCAGCCGCGGUAAUACGUAGGGUGCGAGCGUUGUCCGGAAUUACUGGGCGUAAAGAGCUCGUAGGUGGUUUGUCGCGUUGUCCGUGAAAUUCCCUGGCUUAACUGGGGGCGUGCGGGCGAUACGGGCAGACUGGAGUACUGCAGGGGAGACUGGAAUUCCUGGUGUAGCGGUGGAAUGCGCAGAUAUCAGGAGGAACACCGGUGGCGAAGGCGGGUCUCUGGGCAGUAACUGACGCUGAGGAGCGAAAGCGUGGGGAGCGAACAGGAUUAGAUACCCUGGUAGUCCACGCCGUAAACGGUGGGUACUAGGUGUGGGUUUCCUUCCUUGGGAUCCGUGCCGUAGCUAACGCAUUAAGUACCCCGCCUGGGGAGUACGG
rnacentral:rRNA from 1 species